AGAUAUUUUUGUCACGGGUGAAGAGAUGCCAGAAGACACAAUAACUUUAAAAAGAGAACUCUGAUGGUUUGAUUAAGUGUCCCUGUGGGUAUCCUGGCCAAGCUGAAAGUGGACACUGCAAACCUUCUGUGUCCAGAGAACCUUCCCUUCCUGGGAUCUCACAGACCAGUGGAAAGGAACAUGAGAUGUGUGUGCCAGGCAGCCUUGCUAGGUCCAGCAUCGGUUUUAUUGGCAUCUCAAGGUUGAUAACCAUUGGGCUAUCUGGUAGCAGGUGAGAGGAGAGUUUCUGGGCCUAGAUGUAUCUCUCAGAGAAGAUGGAGCCUCUGGAGAGGCACAGAAGAUGGAGACACAGUUAGCUGACAUCAAGAAUAUAUUGUAGCAUAAGGUGGGCCCAAGAAGAAAGUCUCAUAGGUAAAAUGGAUAUGGACAACUAACAUCAAGACCCUUAACGAGAAUGUGGGUAUGAGUAUUGUUUGAGUAUUAAAGACUGCUGAAUCAUCUUAAUCAGACCAGGUACUGGCAAUGGAAAGGGAUCCAACCCGCUCUGAGUACUACAGAAGCUCUUAUGGUAUCGUAUUGCUUCUCAUAGCCCAGAACGCACUUCAUUUAUUUAGCCUCAUAGCUCUGUGAAGAUGGCUAUUUCUACAUCUGAUGCGUGAGUUGGGGAGGUAGAUGACUCAUAGUGCUUGCCAGGAGAUUUCCUGCUAGAUUCCAGCCGUGCUUCCAGCCCUGUAAGUCCAGGCUUGUUCCUCGUAACUCAUAAAUGGAAGAACAAAGCCAGUGGAAAGCAGGAUUCUCAGCAACUUGUAAAAACUAGGUGUGAACUUAGUCUGCCAAAGACAGGCUCACUUUUAACAUACAACAUUUGAUGAAUUUUGAAUGGAAUGUCUCAAUGAGAUUACUCAAAAACUUGUUACCACCUGCUCCUUUGUCCUGCCCCUUGACACACGUUGCCACUAAGUAUUUGAUGACUUGAUUAGUGUUCCUCCCGCUAGAACUAAACAAUCCCAACUAAUAAUAAUCCUGUAUCUUUGAUACCAUUUUUUUCUGGCCUGGCACAGAGCGGAGACCCAAUGUUUGCUGAGUAAGAAGAACAAAUAAAGAAGUUAAUGGAUCGCUAAGCUAAAGAAAUUAAA